UGGAAGUAAAAAGUCGUAACAAGGUCUCCGUUGGUGAACCAGCGGAGGGAUCAUUACCGAGUUUACAACUCCCAAACCCAAUGUGAACGUUACCAAACUGUUGCCUCGGCGGGAUCUCUGCCCCGGGUGCGUCGCAGCCCCGGACCAAGGCGCCCGCCGGAGGACCAACCAAAAACUCUUUUGUAUACCCCCUCGCGGGUUUUUUAUAUCUGAGCCAUCUCGGCGCCUCUCGUAGGCGUUUCGAAAAUGAAUCAAAACUUUCAACAACGGAUCUCUUGGUUCUGGCAUCGAUGAAGAACGCAGCGAAAUGCGAUAAGUAAUGUGAAUUGCAGAAUUCAGUGAAUCAUCGAAUCUUUGAACGCACAUUGCGCCCGCCAGUAUUCUGGCGGGCAUGCCUGUCCGAGCGUCAUUUCAACCCUCGAACCCCUCCGGGGGGUCGGCGUUGGGGAUCGGCCCUUUACGGGGCCGGCCCCGAAAUACAGUGGCGGUCUCGCCGCAGCCUCUCCUGCGCAGUAGUUUGCACACUCGCAUCGGGAGCGCGGCGCGUCCAUUGCCGUAAAACACCCAACUUUCUGAAAUGUUGACCUCGGAUCAGGUAGGAAUACCCGCUGAACUUAAGCAUAUCAAUAAGCGGAGG
rnacentral:rRNA from 1 species